AGUGGGGAAUAUUGGACAAUGGGCGAAAGCCUGAUCCAGCCAUGCCGCGUGAGUGAUGAAGGCCUUAGGGUUGUAAAGCUCUUUUAUCCGGGAAGAUAAUGACUGUACCGGAAGAAUAAGCCCCGGCUAACUUCGUGCCAGCAGCCGCGGUAAUACGAAGGGGGCUAGCGUUGCUCGGAAUCACUGGGCGUAAAGGGCGCGUAGGCGGAUGACUAAGUCGGGGGUGAAAGCCCAGGGCUCAACCCUGGAAUUGCCUUCGAUACUGGUCAUCUCGAGGACGGAAGAGGUUGAUGGAACUCCGAGUGUAGAGGUGAAAUUCGUAGAUAUUCGGAAGAACACCAGUGGCGAAGGCGAUCAACUGGUCCGUUUCUGACGCUGAGGCGCGAAAGCGUGGGGAUCAAA
rnacentral:rRNA from 1 species